rnacentral:lncRNA from 1 species
UGAGAGGACAGGACAUGAGAACCUAACACUCCGCUGUGAGAGGACAGAAACAUGAGAACCUAACAACAGUCCGCUGUGAGGGAACAGGACAUGAGAAUAAUGCGACUGUGACAACAAAUUCAACAACACGAAAGCAGACCGAUAGGCAUCCAGUGUAUCUUGUCGGUUCAUGACGUGGGUCUAGCCGGGGUCGAUGGCUGUUUGCGGGCAGAGGCAGAGGCAGUUGUCCCUGCCGGUACAGAAGUGGGCAGCAUGGCGGACGACGCCGGUGCUGAGGCCUCUGAGGCGGCGCAGUUUACUUUCUGCGGCGGGCUGCGGCUCCCUUCUUGCUGCUACAAUGCGUCAACGUGCAACACACACGUCAGGGGUCCUGUUCUGUUAUGUAGGUAAUGCCCUCUAGUGUCAAGCAUUGGCUUUAAACAGCAGCCAAUGACAUAGUCCCAUUGGUGAACCAUAGUUAUAAUGUAUGAUUUAUUUACAUGUUUAGGAUAACAUACCACGUGUUAAAUUACAAUAUCCAAUAUAGUAUGGGCCCACAUUAUUCUGAGGUCAGGGGCACUAUUUUUACACCGUUAUUACUUACCGUGAGAGUAAAUCGUAUUUUAAAAGAAGCCUAUCAUACAAGGGGGGAAAAAAAGUUAUGUUUGAUUUGAUUAUUGUUCAAAAUGUUGGACUAUCUUUAAGCUAUCCAAAGAGUGUUAUGUUCAGUUUGCUAUUGUUAACAACAGUAGGUUCAGUUUGCUAUUGUAAACACAGUAGAUGUCGUGUUCAGUUUGCUAUUGUAAAACACAGUAGAUGUUGUGUUCAGUAUACUAUUGUAAAACACAGUAGAUGUCGUGUUCAGUUUGCUAUUGUAAAACACAGUAGAUGUUGUGUUCAGUAUACUAUUGUAAAACACAGUAGAUGUCGUGUUCCGUAUACUAUUGUAAAACACCGUAGGAUGUCAUUUUGA